rnacentral:rRNA from 1 species
UACGAAGGGGGCUAGCGUUGCUCGGAAUGACUGGGCGUAAAGGGCGCGUAGGCGGAAUGCUUUGUCGGGCGUGAAAUUCCAGGGCUCAACCUUGGGGCUGCGUUCGAGACGGGUAUUCUUGAGUUCGGAAGAGGGUCGUGGAAUUCCCAGUGUAGAGGUGAAAUUCGUAGAUAUUGGGAAGAACACCGAUGGCGAAGGCAGGUCUCUGGGCAUUAACUGACGCUGAGGAGCGAAAGCAUGGGGAGCGAACAGG